AGAGUUUGAUCAUGGCUCAGGGUGAACGCUGGCGGCGUGCCUAACACAUGCAAGUCGAGCGGUAACAGAGAGUAGCUUGCUACUUUGCUGACGAGCGGCGGACGGGUGAGUAAUGCUUGGGAAUAUGCCUUAUGGUGGGGGACAACAGUUGGAAACGACUGCUAAUACCGCAUAACGUCUACGGACCAAAGGGGGGGAUCUUCGGACCUCUCGCCAUUUGAUUAGCCCAAGUGAGAUUAGCUAGUUGGUGAGGUAAAGGCUCACCAAGGCGACGAUCUCUAGCUGGUUUGAGAGGAUGAUCAGCCACACUGGGACUGAGACACGGCCCAGACUCCUACGGGAGGCAGCAGUGGGGAAUAUUGCACAAUGGGCGAAAGCCUGAUGCAGCCAUGCCGCGUGUGUGAAGAAGGCCUUCGGGUUGUAAAGCACUUUCAGUUGUGAGGAAAGGAGUGUAGUUAAUAGCUGCAUUCUGUGACGUUAACAACAGAAGAAGCACCGGCUAACUUCGUGCCAGCAGCCGCGGUAAUACGGAGGGUGCGAGCGUUAUUCGGAAUCACUGGGCGUAAAGCGCGCGUAGGCGGCUGAUCGAGUCAGGUGUGAAAUCCCACGGCUCAACCGUGGAAUAGCACUUGAUACUGGUUGGCUAGAGUCUGGCAGAGGGUGGCGGAAUUCCCGGUGUAGGGGUGAAAUCCGUAGAUAUCGGGAGGAACACCAGAGGCGAAGGCGGCCACCUGGGCCAAGACUGACGCUGAGGUGCGAAAGCGUGGGGAGCGAACAGGAUUAGAUA
rnacentral:rRNA from 1 species